UACGGAGGGGGCUAGCGUUGUUCGGAAUUACUGGGCGUAAAGCGUACGUAGGCGGCUUUGUAAGUUAGAGGUGAAAGCCCGGGGCUCAACUCCGGAAUUGCCUUUAAGACUGCAUCGCUUGAAUCAUGGAGAGGUGAGUGGAAUUCCGAGUGUAGAGGUGAAAUUCGUAGAUAUUCGGAAGAACACCAGUGGCGAAGGCGACUCACUGGACACGUAUUGACGCUGAGGUGCGAAAGCGUGGGGAGCAAACAGG
rnacentral:rRNA from 1 species